rnacentral:rRNA from 1 species
AUGCUUCGGCCUAACGGUGCACAGACGAUCACACGUACGGGCAGAGCAGUUCCUCAUUGGCCCAAGGCACCACCGUUGGGUUUUGCCAAAAUACAUGUCGAUGCAGCAGUCAGGCCAGGGAGAGGCGGUUCAGCCGCUGCGGUGUGUCGUCAUUCAAGUGGAAAUUAUCUAGGGAGCUCAGCUCUUGUUAUGGAAGGAGUGGAUGACCCAGCUUCGUUGGAAGCGUUGGCAUGCAGAGAAGCAAUAUGUCUUGCAGAGGAUCUUCUCAUAAAUAACUUCAUAAUUGCAUCUGAUUGUAAGCAAGUUGUCGCGGACAUCAACUCGGGAAGCAGAGGAAAGUAUGGAGCCAUUCUGUUUGAAAUCAAUCUUAGGUCUACUCUUUUUCAAUGUUCUUUCUCUUUUGAGUGUCGUACUGUUAAUUAUGAAGCACAUAGUCUAGCCAAAUACUCUCUUAGAAGGGGUCCGGGGCACCACGUGUGGCUUGGCGAUCCCCAUGACCGGUCUUGUAUCCCACUCUCUCUGGACUUUGAGUAA